UGAGGUCUUGCUCUGUUGCCCAGGCUGGAAUGCAGUGGCAUGAUUCUGGCUCACCGCACCCUCGAAUUCCUGGACUCAACUGAUCCUACCACCUAUGCCUCCCCAAAUGCUGGGAUUAUAGGGGCAUCAGCCAUGAAUGGGUAAGAAAUCUCUUCUCCCACAUAAGGGAUGUUCUUCCAAGCUGCUGGACACCCAUCCCACAAAAGUUUGGUCACAGGAUCCUCAUUCCAGAGGUGCCCGCCCCAUAUCCAGAGGAAAGAAACAUCUUUAACUCUGAAGACACAGGGAUACAGAAGAAUCUGAACAAACAGCCUUGCUAAAUUCUCCCCAGUUUAUUCCCAUUAGAUCACACCCACUUUAUCCAAUUAUAUUUCUCCAUGACUGUCCAGUCUUCCUCAAACUUAAGCAUAAAAAUAUACAAAGUUUACCUAUUUCUUUAGGUCUUCAAUUUCUCAUAAAGUCUCCUGUGUCAUGUAAAACUUAUAUUAAAUAGAUUUGUAUGCUUU
rnacentral:lncRNA from 10 species